ensembl:lncRNA
UUACAAAGCUGCUGCACCACACAAUCCCAGGGAUUUACUCUAGUCUAGUUUCAGUCUUCAGACUCGCAAAAUUCACCCUGGAAUGGCAACAGUUGAUUGUAAUCCUGUUUAAUGUGGACGAGCUUUCCGUUAAGACGGACUGCUGAAGGCCGACCCUAGUGUGGGUUUGUGAGGACGGUCUGUUGGCUAUGCCUGAACCGUCUCGUGAAAAUCGAGUCAGCUUAUUUCAGAGUAAAAGUGAGAAGGCUCGAUCGGCACGCUGUGAAAAUGCAUCGACGUAGGCGACAGACGGCUGGCGAUGAGCCUCUUUGUGGCAGCGGGGAUGGUUUCCCUCUGCAUCAGCCUCGCUCGCCAAUCUGCAGCUUUUUUUCUGCCACUCCCUUCGACACACAGCCGCUCUCUGCUGCAGGCGGGAGAAACUCAUUCAUCAAUAACCAGUGUGCUUCCUACACUAUCAGUCAACACGUCUGUAAUGUGAUGUGUGUGUGUGUGUUCCCCACACUGCAGAGGGGAUCGCUGCCCCUUCCUUCCAAGUCUGUCGGUGAAACAAGAUGGCGUCGCAGCUCCACGUGGGUCCUCCCAUGCCGGCCAAUGCUCGCUACCCACGGCGUCUGAAAGCAGCAGAGGGCAUUUUUUUGCUUUUUUCUAACUGUUGCACACCUGGGGCCGAUUUUCUCACCGCGUAGCUGGAAUUGCUGAGGCUCUCCUCGGCUCUGCAGCUUGGCCAAAGAUUUAGAAUUUGGGGCACGUCCAGAGCUUUCAUUGUUUCUCUCAUUUCUGUUCGCCCGGUCUGGGCACCGACUGCCAAACUGUACGCUGUUUUGUCUGCCAUCUGGGCGGCUUUGAAAUGCGCUGGUGGGAUGGACCGGUGCAUUUUCAGCAUCACUUGUCGUUUGUCUGGGUGUGUUGGUGCGCAAGCCUGUGUGAACGAGGCAAGUUUAAAGGAGCUUUACGCACAGCCGCAUUACAGCAGCAGAUUAACCAGACUACAGACUAACGAACCUCAUUAAUCUGAGAGUCGCCCACAGUAUGUCAACAGUCACACACACACAGGCACACACACACGCAGGCGCACGUCUGUGCAUUAAAAAGCUCCUCCAAUAGAGAGCCAGGUAGUGACGAGCAGCAGCAGAGCCCAUCUGUGUCGUCCUGCUGCAGGUCACUUUGGAUUUAAAGAAAGGCUGGAAAUCCCCCGAUGAGUCAACGUGUAACCCUCCUGUGCAUCAUCAUCAUCUUUGUGUGUUUUUGGUGGUUUUUGUACAUUUGAAGGAAAACAUGCUGAAGCACACGAACCAGAAAGCUGUGCUCAUCAUUUCUUUUUGUUAACAUAUUUAUUUCAAUUGGUCGGGGAGACGAUAUCAGAAACAUAUUUGUUGGUGGGAGAGCGAUGCAUCAACUGGGUCUGGAUGAGAUCAAGUCUGUGACACACAAUUUGAGGCUUUUGCUUCUAUGAAUCAGUGCAGCCUCCUAUUACAACAUAACAGUGAUUGUGAGCUUUGUUUAUAACGGUAAAAAUGACUUGUCCUGUAUUUCAGUCUGUGCUCUGAAGCUGGAGCCGAUAAAAGUCAUAAAAACUCCGUCUGUUUGAGCGAUAAUGUGAAAAUCUUUUCAGAAUGUUAUUAAAGCAGAAGCUUUUAUUUUGUAGAGCUUUAAACAACAACACUAACACAUAUCAGAGCGGACACACAUACAGAAGCAUUUUAUUGAUUAAGAUAAACUGAACAGUCAUGCUGUAAACACUGAAUCGUUUCAUUCUUUCUUUUAAAGCAGAAAAUCCUGCAGGAUCUGCAGUGGAUGUGGAUCUGCAGGCAGGAUGUACGCGCCGACCUGGACGAGGCACCUUCGACUUUCUGUUCAAACUGAACAGGUGUCCUCUGACGUGUGUUCAUGAAGAACAUUCAGAGCUGCGAUCCUUCUUUGGCGUCUGUUACCUUCAAUGUGAAAUAGAGGGCGCGAUUUAAAGCUUAAAACUCUGUCCCAGUGCGUACUGGAGCUGUCUGAGCCUUUUAGACCAGGUCAGGACAUGUCGGGGAACAGUUGAUGAACAUGAGACGCAUAUAACAACCAGCUUCCCACACACCGUGUAGACAUCUUUGUUUUAUAUCUUAUAGUUUGACCAGGACAUGCGUGUGAUCUGUGACAGUAGCAGCUGCUUUUUAAUGCUUCACGUCUCUGUAAUAUAAACAUGUAAAUAAAGUAUUAAUGAAA